AUGAAGGUUAUACAAUACAUAACAAGUUAUUAUCGUAAGGAUAAAAUAUGGCUUAGGCGGACCAGACCCAACAAACGUGAUUACCAAGUUGUGAUUGUUGUUGAUGAUUCACAUAGCAUGUCGGAGACCUGCUGUGGUGACGUUGCAGUUGAAGCUUUGGUUACAGUAUGUCGCGCUGUUUCUCAACUCGAAAUGGGGAACUUGGUCGUUGCAAGUUUCAGAACAAAAGGAAACAUAAAUCUGCUACAUGAUUUUGAUAUGCCAUUCACCUGA